rnacentral:rRNA from 1 species
CUAGGGGUGCUUCCAUCUGGAAGAAUCUGGAGACAGGUGCUGCAUGGCUGUCGUCAGCUCGUGUCGUGAGAUGUUGGGUUAAGUCCCGCAACGAGCGCAACCCUUGCCUUUAGUUGCCAGCAGUUCGGCUGGGCACUCUAAAGGGACUGCCGGUGUUAAACCGGAGGAAGGUGGGGAUGACGUCAAGUCCUCAUGGCCUUUAUGACCAGGGCUACACACGUACUACAAUGGCCGAUACAAAGGGCAGCGACACUGCGAGGUGAAGCCAAUCCCGUAAAAUCGGUCUCAGUCCGGAUUGGAGUCUGCAACUCGACUCCAUGAAGUUGGAAUCGCUAGUAAUCGUGGAUCAGCAUGCCACGGUGAAUACGUUCCCGGGCCUU